GACGAACGCUGGCGGCGUGCUUAACACAUGCAAGUCGAACGGUAAGGCCCUUCGGGGUACACGAGUGGCGAACGGGUGAGUAACACGUGGGUGAUCUGCCCUGCACUUCGGGAUAAGCCUGGGAAACUGGGUCUAAUACCGGAUAGGACCCUGGGAUGCAUGUCCUGGGGUGGAAAGCUUUUGCGGUGUGGGAUGGGCCCGCGGCCUAUCAGCUUGUUGGUGGGGUGAUGGCCUACCAAGGCGACGACGGGUAGCCGGCCUGGGAGGGUGACCGGCCACACUGGGACUGAGAUACGGCCCAGACUCCUACGGGAGGCAGCAGUGGGGAAUAUUGCACAAUGGGCGCAAGCCUGAUGCAGCGACGCCGCGUGAGGGAUGACGGCCUUCGGGUUGUAAACCUCCUUCAGCACCGACGAAGCGCAGGUGACGGUAGGUGCAGAAGAAGGACCGGCCAACUACGUGCCAGCCGCCGCUGUAA
rnacentral:rRNA from 1 species